GAUGAACGCUGGCGGCGUGCUUAACACAUGCCAGUCGAACGAAGCACCUUGAUUUGUUUCUUCGGAUGAAGUUCUUGGUGACUGAGUGGCUGACGGGUGAGUAACGCGUGGGUCACCUGCCUCAUACAGGGGGAUAACAGUUAGAAAUGACUGCUAAUACCGCAUAAGACCUCAGCACCGCAUGGUGCAGGGGUAAAAGUUCCGGUGGUAUGAGAUGGACCCGCGUCGGAUUAGGUAGUUGGGGGGGUAACGGCCUACCAAGCCGACGAUCAGUAGCCGAGCUGGGAGCAUGGCCGGCCACAUUAGGACUGGGACCCGGCGCGAACUCCUACGGAAGGAAGCAAUGGGGAAUAUUGCACGAUGGGGGAAACCCUGAUGCAGCGGCGCCGCGUGAGCGAUGAAGUAUUUCGGUAUGUAAAGCUCUAUCAGCAGGGAAGAGAAUGACGGUACCUGAAUAAGAAGCACCGGCUAACUACGUG
rnacentral:rRNA from 1 species